rnacentral:rRNA from 1 species
AGUGAACGCUGGCGGUAGGCCUAACACAUGCAAGUCGAACGGCAGCACAGUACGAGCUUGCUCUUCCGGGUGGCGAGUGGCGGACGUGUGAGGAAUACAUCGGACUCUACUUUUUCGUGGGGGAUCACGUAGGGAAACUUACGCUAAUACCGCAUACCACCUACGGUUGAAAGCAUGGGAUCUUCUGACCUUUCGCGAUUGAAUGAGCCGAUGUGGGGUUAGCUAGUUGGCGGGUUAAAGGCCCACCAAGGCGACGAUCCGUAGCUGGUCUGAGAGGAUGAUAGGCCACACUGGAACGGGGACACGGACAAGAAGACUAAGGGAGGGAGCAGUGGGGAAUAGUAGGCAGAGGGGGCAAGAAUGAUACAGCGAGACCGAGUGGGUGAAGAAGGCGUUCGGGGUGGAAAGACCUUUUUUGGGGAAAGAAAAGCAGCAGGUUAAGACCCAGCGGGUGUGACGGUAACGAAAGAAGAAGCACCGGCUAACUUCGUG